UUGUGAUCUCUGGUCCCCCAAUUUCACCGACCUGAGGACCGCUGUGUCUGCACAUGCCAAGAACAACCUGCCUGCCGAGCAGCGGAAGAUGGUGGCCACCUUGUGUGCCACAACACGGCCACAGCUGACUGCUUCUAAGCCCUCAGCCUGAACGUGGCCCAGUCAAAGAGGAUAAGGGAGCAUUUCCACCAGGCCCUCACCCACACUGGCCAUCACCAGCGUCAACAGAAGCGUCCUCCUCCAGUUCCGAGGACGAAACCCCUGUCCCCUACUAGGAGUCAGGGACCUCAGGACUGCAGGAGCAGAGGGAGUUUAUGGCGAGGCUGCAAAAUACACCAGAGAAGGCCCUCAGGACCAGCCAGUACGGCAGGCUGAUGGUGGUGCAGACUGCGUUCGAGGCUCAACUCCACCUGUCUAAAAAGAUUUCGGAGAGGGCGAGAAGGGCAGCGUAUUGGGUGCAGCCCAGCAUCCCUAGACACACAGACUCUCUCGCUCUCACACACACACACACACACACACACACACACGUAAAUAGUUGUUUUAUUGUGUUUUAUAGAUUGGUUCAGAUUAAUUUUGUAUUAUAACAUGUUCUUUUUUAGUACUUUAAGAUUCCUUUUUUAUUAGAUGUUCUUUUUUAGUAGAUGUUAAGAUUCAUUUACUUUUAGUGUGUUUUCAAAUGUUGUUCAAUAUUGGUAUGUGUUUAAUACAAGUUCCUUUUUACUUAAAAUGUCAACUAUAAUACUGAGCACGCUUAGCCUAAACAUGAAGCUAGGAACACCAAAUUGGUCAGGUAUUCUCAACACAGGCCCACCUUUGAGUUUGAAAAGGUUUAAGGCAAUUUGUAGCUUGAAACAAGCUCCAAAGUAACAGAGUUAAAAAGACAAACAGCCAGAGAACUUGAGACAGAAACCAGCCAGGACCAGUCUUAACUGUUAAAUGUAUAAGGAGCACAUAUGCAAAUAAAAAGCAUUACAAAAUUCA